UUCUAAAACUCCAAGGAAUUGACGGGGGCCCGCACAAGCGGUGGAGCAUGUGGUUUAAUUCGACGCAACGCGCAGAACCUUACCAGCCCUUGACAUCCCGGUCGCGGACUCCAGAGACGGAGUUCUUCAGUUCGGCUGGACCGGAGACAGGUGCUGCAUGGCUGUCGUCAGCUCGUGUCGUGAGAUGUUGGGUUAAGUCCCGCAACGAGCGCAACCCCCGUCCUUAGUUGCUACCAUUUAGUUGAGCACUCUAAGGAGACUGCCGGUGAUAAGCCGCGAGGAAGGUGGGGAUGACGUCAAGUCCUCAUGGCCCUUACGGGCUGGGCUACACACGUGCUACAAUGGCGGUGACAAUGUC
rnacentral:rRNA from 1 species